rnacentral:rRNA from 1 species
GAUGAACGCUGGCGGCGUGCCUAAUACAUGCAAGUCGAGCGAACGGACGAGAAGCUUGCUUCUCUGAUGUUAGCGGCGGACGGGUGAGUAACACGUGGAUAACCUACCUAUAAGACUGGGAUAACUUCGGGAAACCGGAGCUAAUACCGGAUAAUAUUUUGAACCGCAUGGUUCAAAAGUGAAAGACGGUCUUGCUGUCACUUAUAGAUGGAUCCGCGCUGCUUUAGCUAGUUGGUAAGGUAACGGCUUACCAAGGCAACGAUGCAUAGCCGACCUGAGAGGGUGAUCGGCCACACUGGAACUGAGACACGGUCCAGACUCCUACGGGAGGCAGCAGUAGGGAAUCUUCCGCAAUGGGCGAAAGCCUGACGGAGCAACGCCGCGUGAGUGAUGAAGUCUUCGGAUCGUAAAACUCUGUUAUUAGGGAAGAACAUAUGUGUAAGUAACUGUGCACAUCUUGACGGUACCUAAUCAGAAAGCCACGGCUAACUACGUG